rnacentral:rRNA from 1 species
GACGAACGCUGGCGGCGUGCCUAAUACAUGCAAGUCGAGCGGUCCCUUCGGGGAUAGCGGCGGACGGGUGAGUAACACGUAGGCAACCUGCCUUUAAGACCGGGAUAACUAUCGGAAACGAUAGCUAAGACCGGACAGCUGGUUUUCUCGCAUGAGAGAAUCAUGAAACACGGAGCAAUCUGUGGCUUAAAGAUGGGCCUGCGGAGCAUUAGCUAGUUGGUAGGGUAACGGCCUACCAAGGCGACGAUGCGUAGCCGACCUGAGAGGGUGAACGGCCACACUGGGACUGAGACACGGCCCAGACUCCUACGGGAGGCAGGAGUAGGGAAUCUUCCGCAAUGGACGCAAGUCUGACGGAGCAACGCCGCGUGAGUGAUGAAGGCCCUCGGGUCGUAAAGCUCUGUUGCCCUAGACGAACAGCAGAGAGAGUAACUGCUCUUUGUGUGACGGUAUAGGAGAAGAAAGCCCCGGCUAACUACGUGCCAGCCGCCGCAGUAAGAC